rnacentral:lncRNA from 1 species
ACCCUACCAGAAUACACUUUUUUUUAUUAACUGUCUGGACCUUUGCUGAUUACAUUGUCCGGAAUGUGGAGUAUCGCAUUUGAGAAGAGGAUUGGAUCCUAGCCAUAACAUAAAUAUAAGGGUAAUUACAUCCAUGCUGAGAAAGAUUUAGGAAUGAUAGUAAGUUCAUUUGAGUGAGUGGUUUGGGCCAAACUUGAUAGAGAAUAGUCCAGGAAGACAUUUACUAUAAACAGUAGAUUAAAUGUUCUUGCCUGGUUAAUUACAUUUGAACUCUGUUAAUGACUGAAUCACUCAAACUGCUUAAUUGUAUUAUUAGAUGCACAUUUAAGUUAUGUAUUACAUGUCUUUAGUGGUGAUCAGAAUUUUAUCAGUUCCUCUGUCUUUCUUUAUACCAAGUAUGACUCAUAAACCCAGUAUUAAUUUGCCAAGAGAUUGGCAUACUAUUUGUAUAUAUGCUUUUCUUUCAAAUAAUCUGGAUUCCCAAUGCCCACAAUCAUUGAUCCUAAAGAAAAUGUGAGAGUAGGUAGAUAAACUCAAACAUCCCUACCAUCACCCCUGGUAGGAAAUCACUGGUGUAAUGUAUGAUAUUAACAUCUGCACCAAUUACUCUUAUAGGUGGAACAAUCCAAAGUUUUAAUCAGAGAAGGUGGUGUUCAGUUGCUGCUUACAAUAGUUGAUACCCCAGUAUUUGGAGAUGCAGUGGAUAACAGUAAUUGGUAAAAAGGAUUUGUCCUCACAACUUUCCAGUGUAUUUGGGGUACUGGGGUGGUUAAACUUUCUCUUCUUAACAUUUUAAAACUCUUCUUAGCAAAGGUCACCAAACUUCAAGUAACAUGACAGGUUUGUAUACCAACUUUGCCACUUAUUUGACAAAGUUUAACUUCAAAGUUAAACAAAGAAGUUUAACUUCUUUGAACCCAUUUACUUUUUGAUAAAAUGGAGAUAAUACCUAUCAUAAAAUUGUUUUGAAGACAUAUUCCAAAAUAACGUAGCUAGAUAGAAGAAUUCUCAUUAUUGGAAGAAAUUUAAAAUGCUUUGCUUUAAUUUUAUCCAUUUGUAUAAAUUCUAUCACAAUCCUAAUUUAAACCUGAUAUUUAGACCUUCAGUUUUUCCAUAAGUCCUAAGUGAAGAAAACAACUAUGAAAUUUUAGUCUGAAGUAAUUAUCUUAGUAUUUUAUAAAUAACUUUAAUUUUGUUUGAAUUCACAUUGUUUUUGAGGUAUUUUUCUGUCAACUCUUAAAACUCCUAAGUUCAUCAUGAAGUUUUUAUAUUAUUUAAGUAAUCUCUCAUUUGAAAUUUGAAACUGAAUAUAAUCGUUUUCAUAUUAUGAAGUGUGUUAUUAAUACACUUACUAGUGCCAAUAGUAUGCUAAUAAUUUAGCUGUGUUUCAACAAUAAAUAUUUUCUUUCAUUUGGAAAGUUUUGAAAUAAUGAAUAAAGAUUUAUUCAACACAAUUUAUAUUUUUGAAUCUUUAUAUAGAAUAACUUGACAUAUCUUCCAUUGGUUAAUUCAUUUUGCCUAUUUGAAAAUAUUGAUUAUUGUCCUUUAACAGUCAUCAGUUAAUUCAUAUGUAGAAUUGCAACUUAAUUGUUUUGUUUAUUUGCAUUCUAUAGCUGGCAGCCUGCUAUCAAUUACAUUGAUAGUAAAUUUGAGGACUACCUAAAUGCAGAAUCGCAAGUGAACAGAUGUCAGAUGCCUGGUAACAGGGUGCAGUGUUGUUUAUACUUCAUUGCUCCUUCAGGACAUGGACCAUUACAUAACUGAAGACUCCCACCUUCAGGCAGGUUUGGGUAGUACACGUUUGUAACUACCUGGCAUUGCCUUUUGUUGAAGUAAUUUCAGUUUUUAUUAGUAGUAGUAGUAGUAUACUUUAAGUUCUACAGUAUAUGUUCACAAUGUGCAGGUUUGUUACAUAUGUAUACAUGUGCCAUGUUUGUUUGCUGCACCCAUUAACUGGUCAUUUACAUUAGGUAUUUCUCCUAAUACUAUCCCUCCCCCAUCCUCCAUGCCACGACAGGCCCUAGUGUAUGAUAUUUCCCGCCCUGUGUCCAAGUGUUCUCAUUGUUCAAUUCCUACCUAUGAGUGAGAAAUACCUAUGCGGUGUUUGGGUUUCUGUCCUUGUGAUAGUUUGCUCAGAAUGAUGGUUAACAGCUUCAUCCAUGUCCCUGCAAAGGACAUGAACUCAUCCUUUUUUAUGGCUGCAUAGUAUUCCACAGUGUAUAUGUGCCACAUUUUCUUAAUCCAGUCUAUCAUUUUAUGGUGUUCUCAGUUUAUAUAUUUAAAUCACUAAACUGACUCUUUGACUUAAAAGGCUCAAAAAAAGUCAUCUCAAAAAUACAACACACUUUAUAACCUUUUAUAAGUAUUUGUGUAGCUUCUUGAAUUUAUAUUUUUAAAUCAUUCUCAUUUAACUUGUCAGGGCCUUUUCCUGAAAGCCAGGAGAGUGAAAUCUUAACCUGCAGUUAAGUCAAUAAAAUUUGUCAGCUUAUAACCAAUUUUAUUAUUUUAGAUUUUCUGGACUCUCUCCAACUACAGUAAUUCUCAUGAAAUCACAUUCCUGCCAUCCCCUUGGGGAAAAUUUUAUUUCUUAAAAUUGCAUGGGAAAUGAGAGCUUUUUUAAAAGAAAAAAAGUUUUAUAUUCAAAUGAUAUGUAGUGGCUUUGUGCCAUUUCUUAUUCAUCACAAGGGGUAAGAUGUUUAAAAUUGCUAUAUCUUAUAUAUAAAAAUGUACCUUUGAAUAAUUUCUCAGUUUAACUAUUUUUAGAAAUGGAGCAAAGUUUUGCCCAUUGGUACAUGAUAUUGUGGAUUAAGUGAAAGAAUAUGAGGCUGGGUGCGGUGGCUCACGCCUGUAAUCCCAGCACUUUGAGAGGCUGAGGCAGGUGGAUCACCUGAGGUCGAGAGUUCGAGACCAGCCUGACCAACAUGGAGCAACCCCGUGUCUACUAAAAAUACAAAAUUAGCUGGCCGUGGUGGCGCAUGCCUGUAAUCCCAGCGACUAGGGAGGCUGAGUCAGGACAGUUGCUUGAACCUGGGAGAUGGAGUUUGCGGUGAACCGAGAUCACACCAUUGCACUCCAGCCUGGGCAAUGAGAGUGAAACUCCAUCUCAAAAAAAAAAAAAAAGAAUAUGACACAGAAUUUUAUGUAUAGAGUUCCAGGUACCCUGCUCACUACAGACUGAAAUUCUGUGCAGUCUAAUAAAUGAAUCAGAGCCUUUCCAUCUUGUCUGGGUAGUCCCUAGGUUCCCUUUUUAGAGGGUUUUGUUUUUAGAGUGAUUAUAAAUUCAUCCAACAGUGCACUUUCAGUGCCUCCUACCUCCCUCUACCAAGUAUGAACUGCAUGCAUGGCUGAUAUAUGAUUUUGGCUAUUAUCGCUUCAUGUGCAUUGUUCACUAUUUUGUAACUGUUAUUAAAGUAAAAUACUGACUUGGAACAUGAAUUUUAAAAUGGUGUUUUAUCCUUCUAGUAUUGAUUCCCACUUUUAGAAAAAUUGGUGUCAUUCAGUGAGUUUUAUAUAGAAGGAUUUUUUCCCUUAGAAAUACAUACAUACAUACAUACAAAAAAAAUUUGUUAUUUUCCCUGUAGUUGUUUAUUAUGCUGUAGAAUUUGAGGCUAAAUAGUCUUUUCUCUCUGCUGUGGGUUUAUCUUCUAGAAAUGAUAAAGGAUUUUCUAUUGCUUAAAAACAAGAUUUAAAAACUAAAUUUGUUGACGAAAAGACUAGCCAAUAUAAAUCUAAAUGGACAGAGGGAAAAAAUUCAACCAGAAUGUAAUACACAUGUGAACUAAAUGUUUUCUGUUGCUGACGUUUUGUAGGCUUCUGAAAUUUAAUGAGACUUUUACAAGGUUUACCUUUUUUCCUAGAGUUUAAUUUUUAAACUGACUUAAAUGUUUUUUGACACUUUGGUUAUAUUUAAGAAGUUGACUUCUCUAAUUUCCUUGUCAUGUUUAUUUUUAAAUAUCUUUCUCUUUAAAAGUUGGGAUACUAUAAUAAAUAUUCAGC